UACGGAAGGCAGCAGUGGGGAAUAUUGCACAAUGGGCGCAAGCCUGAUGCAGCCAUGCCGCGUGUAUGAAGAAGGCCUUCGGGUUGUAAAGUACUUUCAGUCGUGAGGAAGGUGUUAAGGUUAAUAACCUUAGCAAUUGACGUUAGCGACAGAAGAAGCACCGGCUAACUCCGUGCCAGCAGCCGCGGUAAUACGGAGGGUGCGAGCGUUAAUCGGAAUUACUGGGCGUAAAGGGCACGCAGGCGGUUAAUUAAGUUGGAUGUGAAAUCCCCGGGCUUAACCUGGGAAUGGCAUUCAAGACUGGUUUAGCUAGAGUCUUGUAGAGGGGGUAGAAUUCCAUGUGUAGCGGUGAAAUGCGUAGAGAUGUGGAGGAAUACCGGUGGCGAAGGCGGCCCCUGGACAAAGACUGACGCUCAUGUGCGAAAGCGUGGGGAGCGAAACAGGGAUUAGAUACC
rnacentral:rRNA from 1 species